rnacentral:rRNA from 1 species
GUGAACCUUUACUAUAGCUUGACACUGAACAUUGAGCCUUGAUGUGUAGGAUAGGUGGGAGGCUUAGAAGUGUGGACGCCAGUCUGCAUGGAGCCGACCUUGAAAUACCACCCUUUAAUGUUUGAUGUUCUAACGUUGACCCGUAAUCCGGGUUGCGGACAGUGUCUGGUGGGUAGUUUGACUGGGGCGGUCUCCUCCUAAAGAGUAACGGAGGAGCACGAAGGUUGGCUAAUCCUGGUCGGACAUCAGGAGGUUAGUGCAAUGGCAUAAGCCAGCUUGACUGCGAGCGUGACGGCGCGAGCAGGUGCGAAAGCAGGUCAUAGUGAUCCGGUGGUUCUGAAUGGAAGGGCCAUCGCUCAACGGAUAAAAGGUACUCCGGGGAUAACAGGCUGAUACCGCCCAAGAGUUCAUAUCGACGGCGGUGUUUGGCACCUCGAUGUCGGCUCAUCACAUCCUGGGGCUGAAGUAGGUCCCAAGGGUAUGGCUGUUCGCCAUUUAAAGUGGUACGCGAGCUGGGUUUAGAACGUCGUGAGACAGUUCGGUCCCUAUCUGCCGUGGGCGCUGGAGAACUGAGGGGGGCUGCUCCUAGUACGAGAGGACCGGAGUGGACGCAUCACUGGUGUUCGGGUUGUCAUGCCAAUGGCACUGCCCGGUAGCUAAAUGCGGAAGAGAUAAGUGCUGAAAGCAUCUAAGCACGAAACUUGCCCCGAGAUGAGUUCUCCCUGACCCUUUAAGGGUCCUGAAGGAACGUUGAAGACGACGACGUUGAUAGGCCGGGUGUGUAAGCGCAGCGAUGCGUUGAGCUAACCGGUACUAAUGAACCGUGAGG